rnacentral:rRNA from 1 species
CAGCCGCCGCGGGAAUACGGAGGGAGCUAGCGUUGUUCGGAAUCACUGGGCGUAAAGCGCACGUAGGCGGCUAUUCAAGUCAGGGGUGAAAGCCCGGGGCUCAACCCCGGAACUGCCUUUGAAACUAGAUAGCUUGAAUCUUGGAGAGGCGAGUGGAAUUCCGAGUGUAGAGGUGAAAUUCGUAGAUAUUCGGAAGAACACCAGUGGCGAAGGCGACUCGCUGGACAAGUAUUGACGCUGAGGUGCGAAAGCGUGGGGAGCAAACAGGAUUAGAUACCCCCGUAGUCCCUGUCUCUUAUAC